rnacentral:rRNA from 1 species
AGUGAACGCUGGCGGUAGGCCUAACACAUGCAAGUCGAACGGCAGCACAGUAAGAGCUUGCUCUUACGGGUGGCGGGUGGCGGACGGGUGAGGAAUACAUCGGAAUCUACUUUUUCGUGGGGGAUAACGUAGGGAAACUUACGCUAAUACCGCAUACGACCUACGGGUGAAAGCAGGGGAUCUUCGGACCUUGCGCGAUUGAAUGAGCCGAUGUCGGAUUAGCUAGUUGGCGGGGUAAAGGCCCACCAAGGCGACGAUCCGUAGCUGGUCUGAGAGGAUGAUCAGCCACACUGGAACUGAGACACGGUCCAGACUCCUACGGGAGGCAGCAGUGGGGAAUAUUGGACCAUGGGCGCAAGCCUGAUCCAGCUAUACCGCGUGGGUGAAGAAGGCCUUCGGGUUGUAAAGCCCUUUUGUUGGGAAAGAAAAGCAGCAGGUUAAUACCCCGCUGUUCUGACGGUACCCAAAGAAUAAGCACCGGCUAACUUCGUG